rnacentral:rRNA from 1 species
GAUGAACGCUGGCGGCGUGCUUAACACAUGCAAGUCGAACGAAGCACUUUAACCUGAUUCUUCGGAUGAAGGUUUUUGUGACUGAGUGGCGGACGGGUGAGUAACGCGUGGGUAACCUGCCUCAUACGGGGGGAUAACAGUUAGAAAUGACUGCUAAUACCGCAUAAGACCACGGAGCCGCAUGGCUCAGUGGGAAAAACUCCGGUGGUAUGAGAUGGACCCGCGUCUGAUUAGGUAGUUGGUGGGGUAACGGCCUACCAAGCCAACGAUCAGUAGCCGACCUGAGAGGGUGACCGGCCACAUUGGGACUGAGACACGGCCCAAACUCCUACGGGAGGCAGCAGUGGGGAAUAUUGCACAAUGGGGGAAACCCUGAUGCAGCGACGCCGCGUGAGCGAAGAAGUAUUUCGGUAUGUAAAGCUCUAUCAGCAGGGAAGAAAAUGACGGUACCUGACUAAGAAGCACCGGCUAAAUACGUGCCAGCAGCCGCGGUAAUACGUAUGGUGCAAGCGUUAUCCGGAUUUACUGGGUGUAAAGGGAGCGUAGACGGCUGUGUAAGUCUGAAGUGAAAGCCCGGGGCUCAACCCCGGGACUGCUUUGGAAACUAUGCAGCUAGAGUGUCGGAGAGGUAAGUGGAAUUCCCAGUGUAGCGGUGAAAUGCGUAGAUAUUGGGAGGAACACCAGUGGCGAAGGCGGCUUACUGGACGAUGACUGACGUUGAGGCUCGAAAGCGUGGGGAGCCUACAAGAUUAGAUACCCUGGUAGUCCACGCCGUAAACGAUGACUACUAGGUGUCGGGGAGCAAAGCUCUUCGGUGCCGCAGCAAACGCAAUAAGUAGUCCACCUGGGGAGUACGUUCGCAAGAAUGAAACUCAAAGGAAUUGACGGGGACCCGCACAAGCGGUGGAGCAUGUGGUUUAAUUCGAAGCAACGCGAAGAACCUUACCUGCUCUUGACAUCCCGGUGACCGGCAUGUAAUGAUGCCUUUUCUUCGGAACACCGGUGACAGGUGGUGCAUGGUUGUCGUCAGCUCGUGUCGUGAGAUGUUGGGUUAAGUCCCGCAACGAGCGCAACCCUUAUCUUCAGUAGCCAGCAAUUCGGAUGGGCACUCUGGAGAGACUGCCAGGGAUAACCUGGAGGAAGGUGGGGAUGACGUCAAAUCAUCAUGCCCCUUAUGAGCAGGGCUACACACGUGCUACAAUGGCGUAAACAAAGGGAAGCGAGCCUGCGAGGGUAAGCAAAUCUCAAAAAUAACGUCUCAGUUCGGAUUGUAGUCUGCAACUCGACUACAUGAAGCUGGAAUCGCUAGUAAUCGCGAAUCAGCAUGUCGCGGUGAAUACGUUCCCGGGUCUUGCACA